AACGAACGCUGGCGGCAGGCCUAACACAUGCAAGUCGAGCGCCCGCAAGGGAGCGGCGGACGGGUGAGUAACGCGUGGGAACGUGCCCUUUGCUACGGAAUAGCCUCGGGAAACUGAGAGUAAUACCGUAUGUGCCCUUCGGGGGAAAGAUUCAUCGGCAAAGGAUCGGCCCGCGUUGGAUUAGGUAGUUGGUGGGGUAAUGGCCUACCAAGCCGACGAUCCAUAGCUGGUUUGAGAGGAUGAUCAGCCACACUGGGACUGAGACACGGCCCAGACUCCUACGGGAGGCAGCAGUGGGGAAUCUUAGACAAUGGGCGCAAGCCUGAUCUAGCCAUGCCGCGUGAGCGAUGAAGGCCUUAGGGUUGUAAAGCUCUUUCGUGGGGGAAGAUAAUGACGGUACCCCAAGAAGAAGCCCCGGCUAACUCCGUGCCAGCAGCCGCGGUAA
rnacentral:rRNA from 1 species